GGGCUCAUAGUUCACUGGUAGAACGCGUCGUUGACAUCGACGAGGUAGUAGGUUCGAUUCCUGCUGAGCCCA
rfam:Parcubacteria group bacterium CG2_30_36_38 cg2_3.0_scaffold_22152_c, whole genome shotgun sequence.